UGCAUUUUAGCUUAGUGGUUAGCGUGUUUGCCUCACACCUCCAGGGUUGGGGGUUCAAUUCCCAUCACUGCUC